AUGCAAGACACCCAGCCAAAGUUCCACGAAUACAAAGCAGCUAUCUGGGCGGCACUAGGACCCCAGGGGCGCCCCGCCGGCGGGUGGUGGCGCCCGUUAGACGUUCGCCGAGAGCGGGGAGCCAGGGGCGGGCGAGGCGGUAGGAGAGGCCGACGGAGGCGGCCGUCCCGAUCCGCCCCCGGGGCCGCGAGGAGGUGCUCAGAACAGCCUGCCAAGGAAACCAGAAGGGUUCCUGAUCUGACCCAAAGACCUGCAUGUGACCUGGAACAAGCAUUUUUCUAUCUUUCCUCAGUCCCAGAGGCUGGUUCCGGAAAAGACCUCAGCCUCCCAAGAGCCUGUUACUGCCAAGUGCAUCUGCAGUGGCCACUGUGAGCCAGACAGUGAGGAGAAAAUGAAGCAGAGCAGGGCAGGGAGGAGCUCUGAAUCCAGGAAUCAUUUCCCUAUCUGGUGAAGGGAGAAGAGGUGGAAGUGAAACCGCUCAACAGGGCUCACCCAACCAGAAAACAUCAGAAGGGACAUCUCAGUGUCUGGGAAACAAGCUAGAACCAACAUAGCUGAGAAAGCCCCAACCUAUGCAGGGUUCAGGGGUAAGAGGAAGAAAAUAAAAAUGGAGACAUGAUAAUCA
rnacentral:lncRNA from 1 species